CCUACGGGUGGCAGCAGCGAGGAAUAUUGGUCAAUGGACGAGAGUCUGAACCAGCCAAGUAGCGUGAAGGAUGACUGCCCUAUGGGUUGUAAACUUCUUUUAUAUGGGAAUAAAACGUUCCACGUGUGGGAUUUUGUAUGUACCAUAUGAAUAAGGAUCGGCUAACUCCGUGCCAGCAGCCGCGGUAAUACGGAGGAUCCGAGCGUUAUCCGGAUUUAUUGGGUUUAAAGGGAGCGUAGGUGGAUUGUUAAGUCAGUUGUGAAAGUUUGCGGCUCAACCGUAAAAUUGCAGUUGAAACUGGCAGUCUUGAGUACAGUAGAGGUGGGCGGAAUUCGUGGUGUAGCGGUGAAAUGCUUAGAUAUCACGAAGAACUCCGAUUGCGAAGGCAGUUCACUGGACUGCAACUGACACUGAGGCUCGAAAGUGUGGGUAUCAAACAGGAUUAGAUACCCUAGUAGUC
rnacentral:rRNA from 1 species